rnacentral:rRNA from 1 species
GUUGGGUUAAGUCCCGCAACGAGCGCAACCCCUACGUUUGUUGCUAACGCGUGAAGGCGAGCACUCUAGACGAACUGCCGUUUGACAAAACGGAGGAAGUGGGAUGACGUCAAAUCAUCAUGCCCCUUAUGUUCUGGGCUACACACGUGCUACAAUGGCCGGUACAGACGGAGGCGAAGCCGCGAGGCGGAGCAAAUCCGAAAAAGCCGGUCUCAGUUCGGAUUGCAGGCUGCAAUUCGCCUGCAUGAAGUCGGAAUCGCUAGUAAUCGCAGGUCAGCAUACUGCGGUGAAUACGUUCCCGGGCCUU